AUCUAAAUAGUUUAAUUUAAAAUUUUGAUUUGUGGUGUCAAUAAUGCAAUAUUUUUGCUUUAGAUC
rnacentral:tRNA from 1 species